rnacentral:misc_RNA from 1 species
UCUCCGUUGGUGAACCAGCGGAGGGAUCAUUAUCGAGUUUAUAACUCCCAAACCCUAUGUGAACUUACCACUUGUUGCUCCGGCGCGCGCUUCGGUGCCGCCGAGGACACUUAAACUCCUUGUUUUUAUAAGCAUUUCUGAGUGGCCGAAAGGCAAAAUACAAAUGAAUCAAAACUUUCAACAACGGAUCUCUUGGUUCUGGCACGAUGAAGAACGCAGC